rnacentral:rRNA from 1 species
AUUGAACGCUGGCGGCAGGCCUAACACAUGCAAGUCGAACGGUAACGGGAAGCAGCUUGCUGCUUCGCUGACGAGUGGCGGACGGGUGAGUAAUGUCUGGGAAGCUGCCUGAUGGAGGGGGAUAACUACUGGAAACGGUAGCUAAUACCGCAUAAUGUCGCAAGACCAAAGAGGGGGACCUUCGGGCCUCUUGCCAUCGGAUGUGCCCAGAUGGGAUUAGCUUGUUGGUGGGGUAACGGCUCACCAAGGCGACGAUCCCUAGCUGGUCUGAGAGGAUGGCUAGCCACACUGGGACUGAGACACGGUCCAGACUCCUACGGGAGGCAGCAGUGGGGAAUAUUGCACAAUGGGCGCAAGCCUGAUGCAGCCAUGCCGCGUGUAUGAAGAAGGCCUUCGGGUUGUAAAGUACUUUCAGCGGGGAGGAAGGGAGUAAAGUUAAUACCUUUGCUCAUUGACGUUACCCGCAGAAGAAGCACCGGCUAACUCCGUG